GACGAGCCUCACAAACGUUAUUCGGAAUUACUGGGCUUAAAGGGUGCGUAGGCGGCGCGGAAAGUUGGGUGUGAAAUCCCUCGGCUCAACCGAGGAACUGCGCCCAAAACUACCGUGCUCGAGGAAGAUAGAGGUGAGCGGAACUCACGGUGGAGCGGUGAAAUGCGUUGAUAUCGUGAGGAACACCCGUGGCGAAAGCGGCUCACUGGGUCUUUUCUGACGCUGAUGCACGAAAGCUAGGGGAGCAAAC
rnacentral:rRNA from 1 species